ensembl:miRNA gga-mir-1686 gga-mir-1686
AGCUCUGAGACUAUCCCUGGGGCUGACCUGGCACUCCAGGGUUGUAGCUGUUGUUACCUGGAGGCUGUGCGUCAUCCCCAUGGAGGUCAGGAUGGGUU